AUUGAACGCUGGCGGCAUGCCUUACACAUGCAAGUCGAACGGUAACAGGUUAAGCUGCCGAGUGGCGACCGGGUGAGUAAUGUAUCGGAACGUGCCCAGUCGUGGGGGAUAACUGCUCGAAAGAGCAGCUAAUACCGCAUACGACCUGAGGGUGAAAGCGGGGGAUCGCAAGACCUCGCGCGAUUGGAGCGGCCGAUAUCAGAUUAGGUAGUUGGUGAGGUAAAGGCUCACCAAGCCGACGAUCUGUAGCUGGUCUGAGAGGACGACCAGCCACACUGGGACUGAGACACGGCCCAGACUCCUACGGGAGGCAGCAGUGGGGAAUUUUGGACAAUGGGCGCAAGCCUGAUCCAGCCAUGCCGCGUGCGGGAAGAAGGCCUUCGGGUUGUAAAACGCUUUUGUCAGGGAAGAAAAGGUUCUGGCUAAUACCUGGGACUCAUGACGGUACCUGAAGAAUAAGCACCGGCUAACUACGUG
rnacentral:rRNA from 1 species